rnacentral:hammerhead_ribozyme from 1 species
AUCUAGCUGAUGACUCUCAAAUAGGACGAAAUGCGCAUCAAGCUGGAU